rnacentral:rRNA from 1 species
CCUACGGGUGGCAGCAGUGGGGAAUAUUGCGCAAUGGACGAAAGCCUGAUGUAGCAACGCCGCGUGAAGGAAGAAGGUUUUCGGCUCGUAAACUUCUAUCAACAGGGACGAAGGACGUGACGGUACCUUAGUAAUAAGCCCCGGCUAACUACGUGCCAGCAGCCGCGGUAAUACGUAGGGGGCAAGCGUUAUCCGGAAUUACUGGGCGUAAAGGGUGAGUAGGCGGCAUGGUAAGCCAGAUGUGAAAGUCUGGGGCUUAACCCGAGGAUUGCAUUUGGAACUAUCAAGCUAGAGUACAGGAGAGGAAAGCGGAAUUCCUAGUGUAGCGGUGAAAUGCGUAGAUAUUAGGAAGAACACCAGUGGCGAAGGCGGUUUGCUGGACUGAAACUGACGCUGAGGCACGAAAGCGUGGGGAGCGAACAGGAUUAGAUACCCGUGUAGUC